CUAGGAUUUGGUUUAGGAUUUAGGAUUUGUCUAGGAUUUGUUUAGAAUUUAGGAUUUUUUUAGGAUUUGAUUUAGGAUUUAGGAUUUAUUUAGGGUUUGAUUGAAGUCCAUUAGGAUUUCAACUAAGGUUAAAUUAGAACUUGGUUAAGAUUUAUUUAAGAUAUAUUUUUUAUUAUUCUAAUAUUUUUUGAGCUUCUUAUGGUUUAUUUUAAGGUUUAUUGUAGAUUUUUUUUAAUUCCUUUAAGAUUUCUUAUUACUUCUUUUGUAAUUUCUUUAAGGUUUCUUUUGAAUUUUAUUAAAGUUUAUUUAACAUUAUUAAGGUUUAAUUAGAAUUUAUUUAGUAUUCUAUUAGAAUUAGGAUUUUAUUGUUGCAAUUUCUAUUCUAUUUUCUACAAUCAUGUGUCCAGUGCAUUCUCAAGUAAGACUUCACGUAAUAGAACAAUGUGUUUAUAGUUGACUAUUAGAUUAGAAACUUGAUCAAUAAAUUAGU
rnacentral:lncRNA from 1 species